GAUGAACGCUGGCGGCGUGCCUAAUACAUGCCAGUCGAGUGAACAGAUGAGGAGCUUGCUCCUCUGACGUUAGCGGCGGACGGGUGAGUAACACGUGGAUAACCUACCUAUAAGACUGGGAUAACUUCGGGAAACCGGAGCUAAUACCGGAUAAUAUAUUGAACCGCAUGGUUCAAUAGUGAAAGACGGUUUUGCUGUCACUUAUAGAUGGAUCCGCGCCGCAUUAGCUAGUUGGUAAGGUAACGGCUUACCAAGGCAACGAUGCGUAGCCGACCUGAGAGGGUGAUCGGCCACACUGGAACUGAGACACGGUCCAGACUCCUACGGGAGGCAGCAGUAGGGAAUCUUCCGCAAUGGGCGAAAGCCUGACGGAGCAACGCCGCGUGAGUGAUGAAGGUCUUCGGAUCGUAAAACUCUGUUAUUAGGGAAGAACAAAUGUGUAAGUAACUAUGCACGUCUUGACGGUACCUAAUCAGAAAGCCACGGCUAACUACGUG
rnacentral:rRNA from 1 species